ensembl:lncRNA
CAGAACCCUAUUUUCUUCACAGUAAUACUCAACAUUUUCAAUUAAUAACUUUAUUUCAAUUAAUAAAGCAUGCUGAUAAAUUGGCACAUUACAGGAAGCUGUGAGAAAUAACACAUUUAUUUUUAGAUGCUUUCUUUUAAAGUGCCUCGGCAGGCUGGAAUGGGAAUAUAAACAUAUAUGUCAACCCAGCAUGCUCGAUGACCACACCAGCAGAGAACACGGGGUAGGUCACCCACCAAGGAUAUGAAGGGGAAGUUUCAGCCAAGCUUCUAGAGAAUUACCCUUCAGUAAGCUGCAAGACGGCCCAUAUGGGCACAUAAAGGUCAUUCUCAUGGCCACACAAUAAAAGCCAACCUCAGAAGGCAUCUAUGCCAAGAGAGACUGUAAGGUACCUGCACCAGCUGGAGGAGCAGAUGAAACCAAAGAAGUGACACACUAUCUACAAUUGUGCCGAUGUGCACCCGACCAUGAGAGACAGAGAGGAAACCAUUUUUGCACCUUCAAGCAAUGGAGAGAAAAGGCCUUUGUGGGCAAUGGAAUUGGAAUCAAACAUUAACGGAUGGCAUCGCCACAUAUUCCCCUCCAAGUGGAAUUCUCUGCCUCCCCUGUCUUGGACCAGGUAAAACUGCAGUCAGUGCUUGGUGAUGAAGUGCUGCUGAUUGAUCCUCAUAGAUUCACUCCUUUCUCCUUCUUUCAACAAAUAUCCUGUUUUUAAUCACCUUGCUGUGUAUUUCCUUCCCCUUAUCCAUUAUGCAAGGAGGUCAGCUAGUUACACUCAAUAUGACUAAUUAAAAAGAGAAGUCCAAGGUAAAGCGCACAGAGGCACUCUGGUAAUUGCAGUGAUAUCUGUGAAUAAUAAUGACAAUUAAUGAGAUCUGUAAUAGCUUUGUAAAUAGUCAUUUGCCCACUCACAGGAAGUGAAUUGCAAUUUACACCGAAUGAGGAGAGUCAACUCUUGCGAUUCAUUAAAACAUCUUUCUUUUCUGCCUUCUCAAGCUAACUCUGCUUUUGGCACUUGAGAAAUUCGUGAAAGGGGCAGACCUGGAACUAUCCUCCGAAUGACAGCACAGUGUCCGGCUGCAAGAAAUGAAUCCAUCUCCUCUGGAUGGGCUACCUUAUGGAAACAUGUUCAGUUAGGCUUAACUGAAGUACCUUUGGGAAUGGGAGGAAGGGAGGCCAGAUUCAAAUGCAGGUGAAAUAUAGAAAGUUGCCUGAAAUAGAUUUUUCUAAUUUUAUAGUUGUGAAGGGUCAUUAAAAGCUAUCUAAUGAGAAAACCGAAGUCCCCUAAGGUAAAGGUCUUAUAACUUGCUUGUGUCAGAGUUGGAUAAGACAAGAGGACAGAAAUUCUGGUUCCUAUUCAGUGAUCUUCACACAGCAGACCUCCGAGGGCUUUGAAAGUCUUGUGAAGGGAUAUGGAUUGGAUUGAGCUGGGAAGCCCCUCCACAAUGUCAUUGUACUGUCUAGUAGCUAAACUGACUGUAAAUGGCCGGUUUCUAGAGGAGGAAUGCAGAAGAAACAAAUAGCAAGAAGUAUAGCAAAAGUGCUAAUGAAAACAAAAGAACCUAGCGUGACCCCCAAAUUUGAGCAGAGGCAUCUAAGCAUACUUCACAGACUUAAAAGUAAAAAACAAACACACUUAGCUUGCGGAUAAUACUUUGUUGUCUGCAAAAUCAGGAUCCCCUUUCAGUGUGUUUCCAAUCUCUUCAAUACCAUUCUACUUUCAAGUCUUAGAAAAAGGAAUAUUUCCUUGAGAAUAUUUCCCCUGACCUCCAGCAAUGUUCAAUCCAGCCAUCCAUUAAAGACUUCAGCAAUGCUGUGAAUCUUUCUUCUGUAGCAAAUGUCUUAAUUGUAUACUUCUUGUCCAGUGUAUCUGAUGAAUGUGCAUCUUCAUCACUAAGUUUAAAGUCCUAGGAGGCCAGGGCAGUAUCUGUUAACAUACCCUUGUAUUAUCCAUCCCCAGCUUGUGCCUGACUCCUGGUGGGCACUUAGUUUUCAGGAAUAACUGAAUAAAUCAAUGUAGGAAAAGAAAUGAACUAG